rnacentral:rRNA from 1 species
GGAAUGCUUUAUGCGUAAAAUGGAUUCGUCUGCCCAAGGAUGGGUCUGCGGCCUAUCAGGUAGUAGUGGGUGUAAUGUACCUACUAGCCAACAACGGGUACGGGUUGUGAGAGCAAGAGCCCGGAGAUGGAUUCUGAGACAUGAAUCCAGGCCCUACGGGGCGCAGCAGGCGCGAAAACUUUACAAUGCGGGAAACCGUGAUAAGGGGACACCGAGUGCCAGCGUCAUACGCUGGCUGUCCAGGUGUGUAAAAUACACCUGUUAGCAAGGGCCGGGCAAGACCGGUGCCAGCCGCCGCGGUAACACCGGCGGCCCGAGUGGUGAUCGUGAUUAUUGGGUCUAAAGGGUCCGUAGCCGGUUUGGUCAGUCCUCCGGGAAAUCUGAUAGCUCAACUAUUAGGCUUUCGGGGGAUACUGCCAGGCUUGGAACCGGGAGAGGUAAGAGGUACUACAGGGGUAGGAGUGAAAUCUUGUAAUCCCUGUGGGACCACCUGUGGCGAAGGCGUCUUACCAGAACGGGUUCGACGGUGAGGGACGAAAGCUGGGGGCACGAACCGGAUUAGAUACCCGGGUAGUCCCAGCCGUAAACGAUGCUCGCUAGGUGUCAGGCAUGGCGCGACCGUGUCUGGUGCC